GAUGAGGAAGUUGCAACAAAGGAAAUGGUGCAUCUAAAGGAAUUGCUUGCACAAUAUGUUGCCAUAGUUUCAACACGUUAUCAACAGGAUUUGCAAAACCAAAGGCGGUAGCAACAGAGAGCAAGGCAUUAAGUACGACAUCAGAUUGUGAAAGUAUUUGAUGUGUAUUGAAAUUGUUUGUCUUUUUUCGAUUCAAAUGGUCAAACAAUAACUUUAGAAUGUAUUCCUUGGGAUUCUUUUCAUUUGGCACCAACGAAGUUAAUUCCUUGCUGGAAGCAAAGAGAGACAAAAGUUCAUCAAGUGUUAGGCUAGUUUCCAUUUUUGGAAACCACUCAUCCACUGUAUCGACGUGGACAUGGUCUCUGGUAUAUGUACGACUACCAUACCACCAUUUGCCUACUGCAUACGGUAAAACGAUACCAAAAACAAGUCCAUAAAAACCAAGGAUAUAUAUGCUGUUUUCUGACUCGGAAAUCCACUUUGGAAGGGCUAUACCAACUGAAAUGUGUUGAGGAACAUCAGGAGUACCGUAUAAAGCAUAAUUUUCGCGAGUUUUAUCAUCAGUUAAAGCUCUGUAGGCAUUGGUGAUUUCAAUAUAAUGCUUCUCAACCUCUUCUCUAGUAGUAUUUACCAUAUUCCUGACCUUGUCAGGGUGAAAUUUAAUUGAGAGUCUUUUAUAAUGACGACGAACAUCAUCCACUGAAGUGCCUUUAGCAAUGCCCAGAAUUUCAUACGGAUCCCAAAU